AUUAUGCAACUUGAGGGAAAACCGACUUUAGGCAAUAUGCCACAAAGCAGGAUACUUGCCACAGAACAGGUUACUUGCAAAUAUAGAAAGUCUGUGAUCUCCAUGUAGGGUUGAUACAAAGGCGGGCUGGUAACAGUGGAAGGAUGGUAACAGAGGCAAGCUGGUAAAAAUCAUAUGUAAGAGUGGAGCAGGGUUGAAGGUAAUUCUGGAGUAGGUUGGUGUGGAGCAGGGUUGAAGGUAGGUUGGUAUGGAGCAGGGUUGAAGGUAAUUCUGGAGAAGGUUGGUAUGGAGCAGGGUUGAAGGUAAUUCUGGAGAAGGUUGGUAUGGAGCAGGGUUAAAGGUAAUUCUGGAGUAGGUUGGUAUGAAGCAGGCUUGAAGGUAAUUCUGGAGCAGGUUGGUAUGGAGCAGGGUUGAGGGUAAGUCUGGAGCAGGUUCACAGGCGCUAGCAACUGAAGUCUUUCAGGCAAAUCACCAACUUCAAUGUAAAGGCACUGUUGUGAGCAGGGUGUAGCCUUGUGAUGCCUCUUCAUUAGUCCAGGCAGGUAAGGAUGAUAAGGUGACUGAGGAGAUUAGUGGCUAGGGAGGCCACUAGAGGCAAGAAACUAGUAUUACAUGAAAUAAUAACAGAAUAAAAUGAAACAUGUUCCUGGUUGUUAGGAUAGGAUCCUGACAGUCCAUUUGCCUUUAUGCAUAAUGGGUUAACUGAAUUUGAUGAUGCGUUUUACGGAAUUUCUUAUCUAUUUUAUAACUGCUAUUAGUCGCAGGACAUGUCACUUCAAAGCAUUUUCUUUGGUUUUUCCAGUCUUAUCCCAGACUUCGUGUCUAAUUUCAAUUGUAAUUCUAGAAUUGACACCUCCUAACCUUAAUUUCACCCUUUUUCUUACAAUGGGACUUUGUAAGAUUUCGUUUUAGAAAGUAAAAUUAAUUACUUGGUGUUAUCUGUCAUUGGUGUCUGGUUUUUCUUGUGUGAAAAUGUGUUUAAAAUUAUUUCUAUUCCAC